GUGGUCACUUUGGCAGCACAAAUACUAAAAUUGGAACAAUACAGAGAUUAGCAUGGCCCCUGCACAAGGAUGACAUGCAAAUUCGUGAAGCGUUCCAUAUUAAA
rnacentral:snRNA from 1 species